GUCAAAAUAUGCCCAUAUGUACAAA
rnacentral:sRNA from 1 species